GACGAACGCUGGCGGCGUGCUUAACACAUGCAAGUCGAGCGGUAAGGCCCUUUCGGGGUACGACGAGCGGCGAACGGGUGAGUAACACGUGGGUGACCUCGCCCUCAGCUCUGGGAGUAAGACCCGGGAAACCUAGGGUCUAAUACCGGAUAUGACUCCACGGUGCAUGUCGUGGGGUGGAAAGCCUUGUGCGGCUGAGGAUGGGCCCGCGGCCUAUCAGCUUGUUGGUGGGGUGAUGGCCACCAAGGCGACGA
rnacentral:rRNA from 1 species